GAUCUAUGGCUCAGGAUGAACGCUAGCUACAGGCUUAACACAUGCAAGUCAGGGGCAGCAUGGUCUUAGCUUGCUAAGGCCGAUGGCGACCGGCGCACGGGUGAGUAACACGUAUCCAACCUGCCGUCUACUCUUGGACAGCCUUCUGAAAGGAAGAUUAAUACAAGAUGGCAUCAUGAGUUCACAUGUUCACAUGAUUAAAGGUAUUCCGGUAGACGAUGGGG
rnacentral:rRNA from 1 species